AAAUGCUUAUCUUUGACAGAUACGCGUAUUUCGACUGCAAGUGGUAGUCGAAAUACGCGUAUCUGUCAAAGAUAAGCAUUUA
rnacentral:pre_miRNA from 1 species